CUGCGUGAAGAAGAAGGGUUAGUCGCGAAAUUUGACCAUCUGAAAGGCCAAGGCGCGGAUCCAGCCUCUGGAUCGGGCUUGCGCGCGGAUCUACCCUCCCCUAUACACGACGCUGUUUCAUGUCCUGCACAAAACAAGGUACAAAAACCUAAAACUAACAAAACAAAUCAGAAUAAAACAAAACCUAAGGCCUUAUACAUUCGGCCAGACCUAAACCCUUGCAUCCAUUUGGUUCUUCCUUAACCUAAACCUAAUCCCCUGUUUUAAACAUUCAUCCACCAUUGUCAACGGUGAUUUAGCAUAUCCCAACCUCGAGGGAUGCGGGUUUCGGCCAUGAAAUCCCUUCUUUGCUCCGAUUUCAACAGAGCAGACGGAACCUCUUAGCACUCGUAAGUUCGUUGCAGGUACAACUGUGCAUGGAGAAACUGCUCGUGGGCGAUAAUGCGAAGACUUCCAGAAGCUUCACCAUUUGGGCCCUAUGAGCCUGCUUUGAAAUCGGCUGGCUGGAGGCUGUUGCGAAGGCCACUGGUGGUUGCUUGUGGCGGGAGGAGACGUUCGUGGAAGCUGCAGUGCUGUUUGGCUAGGGUUUCAGUUUUUGGAAUAGAAAUUUUAGGUCAUUUGGGCUAGUUUUGGGAUUUUAGUUUUUGGGCUUUUAUUGGGUGUUGGGUUUUGUACUAGGCUACUAUAAUUUGGGGUUAAUGGGUUUUGAAAUUUGGGCUGUAAAUGGACUGUUAAAGUUGGGACUUUUUAUUUUUAUUUUAAUUUUUUUUAUUAACGGGCCCGGGCAAAAUGGGCCUAUUACAGCUUUAAAA